UAUCCGGUUGAUGGGGGCGGGCUUAAAGGCGGGUGCGUGUCUAGAAACCGUAGAUUGGUCUCUUCGCUGGAGUGAAGGAAGAACUGACAAAUUACUGCCAUCGGUGUUGUGAUUGGCUUUGCGACUCAUUUCAGUGUUGCCAACUUAGCGACGUUGUCUUUAUAUUUAUCAAGUAUUCAGACCCCUCUAGCGACACAUUUUCAAAAAAGCGACUAGCCACAAAUCUAGCGACUUUUCCUGGUGUUAUUGGAGACUUUUGGAGACUUUGACGUGAAAGCACGCAUCGUUGUUACUCUUCUCAACGAGCAGCGUGUGCUGCCGUGGGCCCCAUAACGUCCCCGUCCCUUUCCUUACUGAGGAGUUGGCAACACACCAAGUGGCUGAGCAAAUGUGAAAGUGAAAGUUGGGUCUCAGUAUAGGACUGAGGUGUAGAUUGUUCUGUAAAAACGUAUAGAUAUACACAUAUAGUGACUAUUAGAGUGGUUAUAGAUUUAAAUUAACUAUUUUGAAGUGGGGGACGUGAAGGCCAGUAAAGUUAAAAUGGCAGAGUCCAGAGUUCAUAGUAAGUCACCAUGCUAUAAUUAAUGAUGAACUUUUCUUUCAUGUAUCUGGGAGAACAGAACUAAACCAACUAUUGAAAAUGAAAUGUGUUUGUGGUUGUAUUUGUCUUUAUGUGUAAAUGUUUGUCUGGAUGAAAUGUGUUUGUAACAUGAGGACAGGUAGACUAGUGGUUAGAGUAUUGAGCAGGUAACCGAAAGGUUGCUAGAUUGAAUCACAGAGCUGACAAGGUAAAAAUCUGUUGUUCUGCCCCUGAACAAGGCAGUUAUAACCCACUGUUCCUAGGCAGCAGGGUAGGCUGUCAUUCUAAAGUGCCUUGCUAAAGGGCAUAUCAACAAAUGUUUUCCUUGUUGCCUCAGGGAUUCAAACCAGCAACGUUUGGGUUACUGGUCCAAUGCUCUUAAGUGCUCAGCUACCUGACAAACAUGUCUGUCUAAUGGAAAAAUACAGAGCCUCUAAUUUAUUCUAUAUAUUUAGUCAUAACAGAUCCUUUUCUUCAGUAGAUUUAAGUUGAGUUCGGUUCAGGAUUUACUUCUAAAUGAUGUUACAGAGGAUUUUACCAUCAGCCAUUAACCUUCACUGAUGUUUAAAUCAGAGAUGUUUACUGUAAAACAUAAUAUGUUGUUAUUUCAGGGGUAAUUGGCCAUGUAUAGACCCAUAAAGUGAAUUAGUAUAAUAACUGAAGUGAUAUUUAAUGUUAUUAGGUUUGUUUAGUGUCUUUUUCACAAUGGUAGACCUGGUUAGUAUGAAUGUUGAGGCUUGGACACUGGGGUAGACCUGGUUAGUAUGAAUGUUGAGGCUUGGACACUGGGGUAGACCUGGUUAGUAUGAAUGUUGAGGCUUGGACACUGGGGUAGACCUGGUUAGUAUGAAUGUUGAGGCUUGGACACUGGGGUAGACCUGGUUAGUAUGAAUGUUGAGGCUUGGACACUGGGGUAGACCUGGUUAGUAUGAAUGUUGAGGCUUGGACACUGGGGUAGACCUGGUUAGUAUGAAUGUUGAGGCUUGGACACUGGGGUAGACCUGGUUAAUAUGAAUGUUGAGGCUUGGACACUGGGGUAGACCUGGUUAGUAUGAAUGUUGAGUCUUGGGACACUGGGGUAGACCUGGUUAGUAUGAAUGUUGAGGCUUGGACACUGGGGUAGACCUGGUUGGUAUGAUUAUGCUCAUGGAUCUCCCUGGUUUAUAAUGGGGUGUAGGGAUACAGAUACACAAGGUCCAUACAGGUAAUGGGGCUGGAUGGACGUCCAUUGUCCAUUCAAAUCCUUUCUGGCAACAAUGUUUGUGGUAGAAAAAGAGAUUGGGGCUGGGACACAUGUGUUAUACCACUGUUAUAUUAGUUUAUCUAUGAAAUGAUUAGUCACUGCGGUGACGGUCUGCGCCAACUUUCUGGCGCAACACGGCGCGCUGAAGGUGGACAUGGGCGGUGUCCCAUAUUUCCUCCGCGCGCCGGAACCAGUCGUCCACCGCAGGAACUUCGGUCUGACUCUGAUGCCGCGGAGCCAGAACCGGCUGAUACCCCAAAACACACUGGAAGGGAGAGAGGCUAGUGGAGGAGUGGCGGAGCAAUUUCUAGGCCAUCUCUGCCCAGGGCACUUACGCUGCCCACUCCCCUGGCCGGUCCUGGCAAUAAGACCUCAGAAACCUACCCACAUCAUGGUUAACUCUCUCCACCUGCCCGUUACUCUCGGGGUGAAAACCUGAGGUCAGGCUGACCGAGAACCCCAGACGUUCCAUGAACACCCUCCAGACCCUCGACGUGAACUGGGGACCCGGAUCAGGCACUAUAUCCCCAGGCACCCCGUAGUGCCGGAAGAUGUGUGUAAACAGGACCUCCGCAGUCUGUAGGGCCGUAGGGAGACUGGGCAAAGGGAGGAGACGGCAGGACUUAAAAAAACGACCCACAACGACCAGGAUCGUGGUGUUACCCCGUGAAGGAGGAAGAGCGGUCAGGAAAUCUACCGACAGGUGCGACUACGGCUGUUGUGGAACGGGUUGUAACUUACCUCUGGGCAGGUGUCUAGGAGCCUUCCACUGGGCGCACACAGAGCAGGAGGAAACAUAAACCCUCACAUCCUCGGCCAAAGUGGGCCACCAGUACUUCCCACUAAGACAGUGCACCGUCCGACUGAUCACAGAAUGACGAGAGGAGGGUGACGUGUGGGCCCAAUAGAUCAGCCGGUCGCGGACAGCAGACGGAACGUACAGACGCCCUGCUGGACACUGGAGGGGAGCGGGCUCUGCACGUAACGCCUGCUCAAUGUCCGCGUCCAGCUCCCACACUACCGGCGCCACCAGGCAAGAGGCGGAGAGUAUGGGAGUGGGAUCCAUGGGCCGCUCCUCUGUGUCAUACAGCCGGGACAAUGCGUCUGCCUUAACGUUCUGGGGGCCUGGUCUGUAAGAAAGGGUAAACACAAAACAGGUGAAAAACAUGGCCCACCUUCCCUGGCGAGGAUUCAGUCUCCUCGCCGCACGAAUGUACUCCAGAUUGCGGUGGUCAGUCCCGAUGAGAAAAGGGUGUCAAUCCACCUCAAACCAAUGUCUCCACGCCUUCAAGGCCUUGACAACAGCCAACAACUCCCGGUCCCCCACAUCAUAGUUUCGCUCCGCCGGGCUGAGCUUCUUUGAGAAGAUGGCACAGGGGCGGAGCUUCGGUGGCGUACCCGAGCGCUGAGAGAGCCCAGCUCCUAUUCCAGCCUUGGACGCGUCCACCUACACUAUGAACGCCAAAGAGGGAUUUGGAUGGCCCAGCACGGGAGCCGAGGUAAACAGAGCCUUCAGGUGACUAAAAGCCCUGUCCGCCUCAGCUGACCACUGACCACAAGACCCCGUUUGUGCUGGUGGAGGCGCCGAAAGAACUCCCUGUCUCUCCCAGCGUUGUCUGGACAACGCGAUCCAUGGCGAUGCCAAGAUGGUGAGGUAUUACUGCAUGCUACUGGAUGCGCUCCUCCACAUCAAUGGCAGGGGUACCUUCUCCUGCUGACUCCAUAGUUAGGGUCGGUGAUUCUGUAAUGGGUGCGUGCUGGUGGCAGGAAAGUCAGGCACAGGAGAGACCAGACCAGACUAUGACUACACUACAUACAACAACAAGGACAUGAGGGGAAUUAGAGGGUUAAACACACAAUGAUGAGAUUGGAACCAGGUGUGAAGUAAGACAAGACAAAACCAAUGGAAAAUGAAAAAUGGAUCAGCGAUGGCUAGAAGGACGGUGACGUCGACCGCCGAACACCGUCUGAACAAGGAGAGGGACCGACUUCGGCGGAAGUCGUGACACUGAGAUAGGAAAGUUAACAGAGAUGAGGUGUACUGGCAAAGGAACUGGGGUCUUGAGUAACACACAGGUCAUUUAGGUCCAGGAUACAGUUGAAGUCGGAAAUGUACAUACACUUCGGUUGGAGUCAUUAAAACUCGUUUUUCAACCACUCCACACAUUUCUUGUCGGUUAGGACAUCUACUUUGUGCAUGACACAAGUAAUUUUUCCAACAAUUGUUUACAGACAGAUUAUUUCACUUAUAACUCACUGUAUCACAAUUCCAGUGGGUCAGAAGUUUACAUAAACUAAGUUGACUGAGCCUUUAAACAGCUUGGAAAAUUCCAGAAAAUUAUGUCAUGGUUUUAGAAGCUUCAGAUUUGAGGUGUACCUGUGGAUGCAUUUCAAGGCCUACCUUCAAACUCAGUGCCUCUUUGCUUCAAAUCAUGGGAAAAUCAAAAGAAAUCAGCCAAGACCUCAGAAAACAAUUGUAGACCGCCACAAGUCUGGUUCAUCCUUUCCAAACACCUGAAGGUACCACGUUCAUCUGUACAAACAAUAGUAUGCAAGUAUAAACACCAUGGGAUCACGCAGCCGUCAUACUGCUCAGGAAGGAGACGUGUUCUGUCUCCUAGAGAUGGACGUACUUUGGUGAGAAAAGUGCAAAUCAAUCCCAGAACAACAGCAACGGACCUUGUGAAGAUGCUGGAGGAAACAGGUACAAACUAUCUUUAUCCACAGUAAAACAAGUGCCAAAUCGACAUAACCUGAAAGGCCGCUCAGCAAGGAAGAAGCCACUGCUCAAAAACCACCAUAAAAAAAGCCAGACUACGGUUUGUAACCGCACAUGGGGACAAAGAUCGUACUUUUUGGAUAAAUGUCCUCUGGUCUGAUGAAACAAAAGAAAACUAUUUGGCCAUAAUGACCAUCGUUAUGUUUGGAGGAAAAAGGGGGAGGCAGCAUCAUGUUGUGGAGGUGCUUUGCUGCAGGAGGGACUGGUGCACUUCACAAAAUAGAUAGCAUUAUGAGGAGGAAAAUUAUGUGGAUAUAUUGAAGCAACAUCUCAAGACAUCAGUCAGGCAGUUAAAGCUUGGUCGCAAAUGGGUCUUCUAAAUGGACAAUGACCCCAAGCAUACUUCCAAAGUUGUGGCAAAAUGGCUUAAGGACAACAAAGUCAGGGUAUUGGAGGGGCCAUCACAAAGCCCUGACCUCAAUCCUAUAUAUAGAACAUUUGUGAGCAGAACUGAAAAAGCUUGUGCGAGCAAGGAAGCCUACAAACCUGACUCACUUAAACCAGCUCUGUCAGGAGGAAUGAGACAAAAUUCACCCCAAUUUAUUGUGGGAAGCUUGUGGAAGGCUAUCCAAAAUGUUUGACACAAGAUAAACAAUUUAAAGGCAAUACUACCAAAUACUAAUUGAGUGUAUGUAAGCUUCUGACCCACUGGGAAUAUGAUGAAAGAAAUAAAAGCAGAAAUAAAUCAUUCUCUCUUUCCCUAGAUGUACAUUAGUAAUGAACGUGAUGAACAGUCAUUCCAAUAUGAUGUAUGGUAUUUCAUUAAAUUAUGUAAUGAGACAUGAUCAUUAUUCAUGACUCUCCAUCUUGGAUAAUGGGUGAUCAGGAUUGCGUAAGUAAUUACUAAUUUGUCUGUUUUGUUUAUUGACAACCAAUAACACAAGACAAAGAACAGACCAGAGUGUUAAUCUGAUACUAUAAAAACUACAGGCCUUGUGAACAGCAGUGUGUCUUCUUCAAGGCUACAAAUUAAAUCAGUUUCUUUACAUUUAUCAAUACUCUCCUCAAAUGUUCUCAAGGUAGGUUGGAUUAAGAUGUAUAGAUGUUCUACAAAUUAUCCAGAAUUUUCACAUCAUAGAUCUCCCACUAUAUAUCUGCCAUAGUGGUCAAUAUUUCACAUAGUCCUCCCACAAUAUAUCUGCCAUAGAGGUCAAUAUUUCACAUCGUCCUCCCACUAUAUAUCUGCUAUAGAGGUCAAUAGUUCACAUAGUCCUCCCACUAUAUAUCUGCCAUAGAGGUCAAUAUUUCACAUAGUCCUCCCACUAUAUAUCUGCCAUAGAGGUCAAUAUUUCACAUAGUCCUCCCACUAUAUAUCUGCCAUGGAGGUCGAUAUUUCACAUCGUCCUCCCACAAUAUAUCUGCUAUAGAGGUCAAUAUUUCACAUAGUCCUCCCACUAUAUAUCUGCUAUAGAGUUCAAUAUUUCACAUAGUCCUCCCACUAUAUAUCUGCCAUGGAGUUCAAUAUUUCACAUAGCCCUUCCACAAUAUAUCUGCUAUAGAGGUCAAUAUUUCACACCAAAAUUAAAAUAGAAUCAGCUUGAAUUUAGCUUGAUGUCUUAUUAUGAAGCAUUCAGUCAUUCUCAGACUGCUCACAUAGUGGUGCUGCUUACAUCCCUUUCCCUAGAUGUACAUUAGUAAUGAAUGUGAUGAACAGUCAUUCCAAUAUGAUGUGUGGUAUUUCAUUAAAUUAUGUAAUGAGACAGAAAUUCAAUGACCAAUAAUAGUAGUGACGCGGAAGACACAUUUCAGUUGAAUACAUUCAGUUGGACAACUGACUAGGUAUCCCCCUUUCCUUUCCCUUCCACAAUAUAUCUGCCAUGGAGGUCAAUAUUUCACAUAGUCCUCCCACUAUAUAUAUGCUAUAGAGGUCAAUAUUUCACAUAGUCCUCCCACUAUAUAUCUGCCAUAGAGGUCAAUAUUUCACAUAGUCCUCCCACUAUAUAUCUGCUAUAGAGGUCAAUAUUUCACAUAGUCCUCCCACUAUAUAUCUGCUAUAGAGGUCAAUAUUUCACAUAGUCCUCCCACAAUAUAUCUGCCAUAGAGGUCAAUAUUUCACAUAGUCCUCCCACUAUAUAUCUGCCAUGGAGGUCAAUAUUUCACAUAGUCCUCCCACUAUAUAUCUGUCAUAGAGGUCAACAUUUCACAUAGUCCUCCCACAAUAUAUCUGCUAUAGAGGUCAAUAUUUCACAUAGUCCUCCCACUAUAUAUCUGCUAUAGAGGUCAAUAUUUCACAUAGUCCUCCCACUAUAUAUCUGCUAUAGAGGUCAAUAUUUCACAUAGCCCUCCCACAAUAUAUCUGCUAUAGAGGUCAAUAUUUCACAUAGUCCUCCCACUAUAUAUCUGCUAUAGAGGUCAAUAUUUCACAUAGUCCUCCCACAAUAUAUCUGCUAUAGAGGUCAAUAUUUCACAUAGUCCUCCCACAAUAUAUCUGCUAUAGAGGUCAAUAUUUCACAUAGUCCUCCCACUAUAUAUCUGCUAUAGAGGUCAAUAUUUCACAUAGUCCUCCCACUAUAUAUCUGAUAUAGAGGUCAAUAUUUCACAUAGUCCUCCCACUAUAUAUCUGAUAUAGAGGUCAAUAUUUCACAUAGUCCUCCCACUAUAUAUCUGAUAUAGAGGUCAAUAUUUCACAUAGUCCUCCCACUAUAUAUCUGUCAUAGAGGUCAACAUUUCACAUAGUCCUCCCACUAUAUAUCUGCUAUAGAGGUCAAUAUUUCACAUAGUCCUCCCACUAUAUAUCUGCCAUAGAGGUCAAUAUUUCACACUCCAAAAUGAAAAUAGAAUCAGCUUGAAUUCAGCUUGAUGUCUUAUUAUGAAGCAUUCAGUCAUUCUCAGACUGCUCACAUAGUAGCACUGCUUACAUCCCUUUCCCUAGAUGUACAUUAGUAAUGAAUGUGAUGAACAGUCAUUCCAAUAUGAUGUGUGGUAUUUCAUUAAAUUAUGUAAUGAGACAGAAAUUCAAUGAACAAUAAUAACUAAUGCAUUCUGUUUUAGAGAUCAUUAUUCAUGACUCUCCAUCUUGGAUAAUGGA